rnacentral:rRNA from 1 species
UACGUAGGGGGCUAGCGUUGUCCGGAUUUAUUGGGUUUAAAGGGUGCGUAGGCGGCCCUGUAAGUCAGUGCUGAAAUAUCCCGGCUUAACCGGGAGGGUGGCAUUGAUACUGCGGGGCUAGAGUACAGAUGAGGUAGGCGGAAUUGACGGUGUAGCGGUGAAAUGCUUAGAUAUCGUCAAGAACACCUAUAGCGAAGGCAGCUUACUAGGCUGUAACUGACGCUGAGGCACGAAAGUGUGGGGAUCAAACAGG